ACAUGAAGGGCAGCUGCGUGCAGCUUCAGACCACAGACACUGCUGUCAGUCUGAAGACUCUGAAUGAUUUCCUCAGGGAAGUCUCAGUUCCAGCCUUAGUGCAGUGUACUCCGAGCAGUACUCAGUGCUCUGUUUUGAGGAUUACUUACAGACUACACAGUGCUGUGACCUAGACGUUCCAAGAAUAAGAGCAUGCAGUUGAGAUCUUGUUAUUUUCAAGGUUCCCAAAGGACCUAUUAACAGCAGACUUUUAUGGAACGUGGUUAAUGGUUAAACUGGUGAAAAUAACUGCACAAGUUAUACGGUGGACAUACUCCCUGACUGGUACAACUCUGGCAACACUGUUCACCUUGGAGUUUCUGGUGCUUCAUCAGCACAACAUCCCCAGCAGGUCCUGUGCAAACAUAGAUUUCUCAUCCAGGGAUCAUGAAGAGCUGCACUGAUUUGUUCCAGAGCAACAUUUCUCCACAUUUCUAACCAUCUUGAGAUAAGCAGUCAGGAGACUGCAGAUCAAGGCUGGUGGAGCAGGGCAAGGCAUUCCUAUUCCCAUAGACAUAAUGGUGAAAGUUCAGCAGUUACCAUAGUGUUUGUGACCUAAUCACCUCUCUUAAUGUUCAACUGGAAGUGAUAAUAAAGACAGAGUUCAAAACCCAACUGAGAUGAAGGGAUCCUUGGAUAUUUGUCACACGAGAACAAAAGGAAGUCCCUUGUUCUGAGGUGUACAGCAAAAUGCAUGAGACGAGUUAAAGUGCAUCAGGUGAAGCUGGACUGAACAGGAAUCAAGGAUCACAGAGAAAACGUGCUUGAGCCAAACUCAGCUGAAGCCUAGAUCAAUCCAAAUAACUUCUUUCAAACAUGGCUUUCAAGAUAAGAAGAGAAAUAUGGUAUUGAUUUGCCUAGUAAAAGGGACACCCUCAAACACGCGGAAUCCAUCUCUGCUUGUCACUCAGUGCUGCUCUGCCUUUUGGACAAGGCUGCUUGUAUGUGUGAAGUUAUUCAGCAAAAACAUAUUGCCAAGCCUGAAGAUUAGAGCCAGCUUCAGAAAGCCAUUUAACAAAGAGCUGGAAAGAAGCAGCAUCUCUACAUGGACUUAUCAGGAAGCUUAUGCAUCAGAUACUCAAUGCAAGUGCUAAGCAAGGAGGCAGUGUUGACUGAACAGCCACAGUAAGCACUGUAGGGAAAAACCUGCAGCUGAGGCUGGAUACUUUGUUCUGGUAUCUGAGUUCAAGGAGUGGAUACACUGAAAGAACAUCAGAGAAAAUUACUCAGGUUUCCAGCUGAAAUAUUGCUCAGAAGAUGGAAUGUCACUACAAAUCCUGGUCUCUAAUCAGCGCUCUUUUUUCUCUCUCACUUGAAUAAUUUAGUUACUAAGAAAUUAAGUUUAAUUUAACAUGCAGUUUGCCUAAAAUCCUCCUUGCUUUAUUUUCUUUCUUAAGAUAGAUAUGUGCAGAGGCUGAGGGCAUUGGGUUGCAUAUCCAAGUAUAAUAUGAGGUACCCUAAUCAAACUUACUGAUAUGAUGAUCCGUGCUAGUAACUGACAUUUCAAACUUUCAGAACAUCUUAAAACUUUCUCUGCUAUCUGCAGUUUCCUGCAGAAAGAAAAAGCCAAGGGUUCCAACUCACCAUUAGGUGGUGCCCCUGUCAUUCAUUUAAAAAAUAAAAAAUAAUUAUAAAAACUGCAAUAGAAUCUACUAUCCUUAUCUUCAUUGUGCAUGCCUGCUGAGGGUAAAGCUGUGCUAUUUGAGUGGAAUGAGGGGACAAAACAAGUGUCAUUUCCUUUUUAGGAAGUGAGAUCCCAUCAUGUGCAGACUUGAGGAAGCCAGCAUUGCAAAUUGGUGCUUUCUCCACUUAGCACUGGAGCUGUGAGAAUGGGCAGCAUUUGUGUCCCUUGAACCUUCUUGGCCAGCAGGUCCGGGGGCUUUUGCACUGGUUUUGUGGAGGGAUCUGGGCAGGGAGAGGGAGCACCUAGUCUUUGUGUGACUGCUCAGAGCACUGCUGUAGGUUGUGUGAGUUGUGGUAGUCUGAGCAUCAAAAAGACCAAAUGAGCAUGGCUUGCAUCCAGUCACUGCAGCAAAAUGCUGAGAUACAGUGCUCAAAUAAGUCAUACUGGAAAUGCAUCGUUUCAGUCCUCUCAAGCUCCGGUAAAGCUGAUGUUUGCAAAUAUCUGUGAGGGCAAGGUGGAAGAUUUACCCUCUCUGAGAUGUCAUUACUUUUAUGAUUGGACCUGACCCUGACCUGUAGAUUGACUUCUGCUCCUGACCACAGACCUGCCUCACCAUCUCAGACUUAUCUGAUGAUCUGGACUCUCUGCUGACACUGGCUGCCAUGUCUGUUCUGUCUUGCUGCCUUGCCUUGUGUGGGUCCUGAUGGAUCCCUGGUGGACUGGGACUCUUGGUGCCAGCUGUGUCAUCACACGCAGCUCUGUCACUGGGAAAGCAGCUGGCCUUUGCUUCCAUUCACACUUGCCACUCUUCCAAUCCAUUUUGUGUUGUCUCUAAAAUAUGCUUGCUUUGUACUCCACUGCUGAUAUUCUCUCUAGCUCCUAAGUCUGCAAGGUUAUCUUUAAACAAGCUCCUCUUCACUUCUAGAAAUUAAAUUUGAUGUUUUGAGGUGACACUUUCUCCUUUUAUUUGGAAGAUACUUGGUGAUCCAAAUGCAGCUUUUUGCCUCAGAAAGGUUGCUGUGCCAUGCAACAGUGAGCAGCUGACUGUGCCUCAGUAGCCCUCUAAGACUGCUUCUUUGUUCCUUGACUGUUGUGGAAAGAAUUCCAAGAAAUGUGGUUUGCACCUGCUUCC